rfam:Atopostipes suicloacalis DSM 15692 genome assembly, contig: EJ15DRAFT_scaffold00029.29
CGCGGGGUGGAGCAGUUGGCAGCUCGUCGGGCUCAUAACCCGGAGGUCGUAGGUUCAAGUCCUACCCCCGCAA